CUGGGAAUUCUUCAAACUCAUCAUCCUCCUCCAGUAAGCCAAGGUCCACUGUCUGUUUCUUGUCUGACAUGUUAGCUGUGUUACUGUUUGUCAACGAAUGGCUCUCUAUGGCAGGACUUGUGGGACGCUGAAGCUGUUCGUGCGGCUACAGAUUGCGUUGACUGCGCAGGAAAGCGCAGCAGUAGCAGUCACCGUGCUUUACGGCAAGAUGAUUGGGUUUAUAGACCGCUCAGCCUUCUUUGACCAGUCUACCACAGCUUGACCUCCACCCCUGCAAACCACAGUGACAGGCAUCCGUGGCUGUGCCCCAGCCUCACUAACAUGGAAGUCGGCUCUUCUCAUUGCCCGGGGCCUCUGAAGCACUCCUCUGGGAGAAUCCACCAGAAAACCAGGCCUGCACUCUUGAUGCAAAUGUGCAGCCACACUCAAGUUGAAAAUCUGAGGGACUGUGGCCCUUGGAACAUUUCUUUUUCACACAAGCAGCACAGAGAGACACACAUACCUACGCAUGCAACUUAGACACAUGACAAAGCACACACCUUCUCCUCCUUCGUCCUCCGUCCUCCUUCAGGGCAGUGUUAUUUUUGGCUUGGGCUGGGACAUAUGUCACUGGGGAGUGCGUGUAUUGCCUGGUUAAUUUGGGCUACCUCAAAGCAGGCAUAAAAACGAAGGCGAUAUUUAUUAGGCAGCCUUUUAGCUGCUUGUCAUGAGUGCGUGUCAGCGCUGUAAAACAAAGUUUGAAUGAGUGAGUCAGAAAGUGUUCUGUAACUAACCAUCGCUACCCUGCUGCUCAAAGGAGAGAUUGACAUUUUUAGGUUUCUUUGCUCUAAUUCAUAAAUACAUCCUGGUGCUGUGCUCCGUGUACACUGUCACGUAAGAUGUAUCCGUCUCCCAGUAGUAUUUAUUUGUUGUAAUCAAGAGGACAGAGUGAUGUUUGUCCCCUAGUGCUUGCUGUACAUGAUUCCUGUUACAGCAGAGGUACAACACUGUUACACACCAGAAGCGUGUUAUAUUUUACGAUGCCAUUCUCAGGUGGUUAUGCAAAGGCAGACACAUUUAAUUUAGCACUGAAAGCUAAUAAAUCCCAGAGGUAGUUUGAGUUAGUGUGACUGUAACUGUUGUGAUGAAAAUUAGUUACACCCAGUAGGUGUUGAUGUACUUGUGAAAAGUGAAAAGAACUAGUAUCAGUGGGCGCCAAAUUUAUGUAUUCACUUCAGAGGGGUUCAAGUGUGUGGUUGGCCACAGUAUAGACAGUUUUCUGUUUACAAUCUAGGAUGCUAAUUGCCACAAUGCCAUGAUAGCUUAUAUGGACCUUUUCAGUAUUUAGAAAUAAAGCAACUUGCUGUAAAACCGUAAAAAUACUGUUUAGCUAAACAGUAUGUGGCACUCAUCCUCCAUUUUCCUAAAACUUGAUAGACAUCUGUUGGUUCUGGCGUGAAAACAUGACGCAUGGUGAGAAACAGCAGCUAGUAGCAAUGACAGCGCUAACCAAAGCAACACAAACUCAUGCAAGUAGUAUGAAAUUACCUGCAAUUGUCCCAAAUGGGUUAAAAGCACACUCACACAAAUAACGUUAGCAUUAGUCUCGCUUUACCAGACCAUCCUCCACUGG